rnacentral:rRNA from 1 species
GACGAACGCUGGCGGCGUGCCUAAUACAUGCAAGUCGAACGCUUCUUUCCUCCCGAGUGCUUGCACUCAAUUGGAAAGAGGAGUGGCGGACGGGUGAGUAACACGUGGGUAACCUACCCAUCAGAGGGGGAUAACACUUGGAAACAGGUGCUAAUACCGCAUAACAGUUUAUGCCGCAUGGCAUAAGAGUGAAAGGCGCUUUCGGGUGUCGUUGAUGGAUGGACCCGCGGUGCAUUAGCUAGUUGGUGAGGUAACGGCUCACCAAGGCCACGAUGCAUAGCCGACCUGAGAGGGUGAUCGGCCACACUGGGGCUGAGACACGGCCCAGACUCCUACGGGAGGCAGCAGUAGGGAAUCUUCGGCAAUGGACGAAAGUCUGACCGAGCAACGCCGCGUGAGUGAAGAAGGUUUUCGGAUCGUAAAACUCUGUUGUUAGAGAAGAACAAGGACGUUAGUAACUGAACGUCCCCGGACGGUAUCUAACCAGAAAGCCACGGCUAACUACGU